AAUCUGGGGUCCCCGACCUCCGAGUUGUAAUUUGGAGAGGCAUCUUCGGGGGGGAGCGCCGGCCCAUGUUCCUUGGAACAGGACGUCGCAGAGGGUGAGAAUCCCGUGCCAGGCCGGCUGCCUCCUCCCGGGUGAAGGGCCUUCGACGAGUCGAGUUGUUUGGGAAUGCAGCUCCAAGUGGGUGGUAAAUUUCAUCUAAAGCUAAAUACCGGCGGGAGACCGAUAGCGCACAAGUAGAGUGAUCGAAAGAUGAAAAGCACUUUGAAAAUAGAGUCAAAAAGUACGUGAAAUUGUUGAAAGGGAAGCGCUUGAGACCAGACUCAGGCCCUGGCAAACAUCGCGCCCCUCGGGGCCGUGCAAUUGCCCGGGCCUGGGCCAGCAUCAGUUGGCGUGGCGGGACAAAGGCGCGGGGAAUGUGGCUCCCCUCGGGGAGUGUUAUUAGGCCCGUGCUGGAUGCCGCCGACGCCGACUGAGGACCGCGCCUCGGCUAGGAUGCUGGCUUAAUGGCCUUCAGCGACCCGUCUUGAAACACGGA
rnacentral:rRNA from 1 species